CAAAAGGUCCCUGGGACCAUACACAGAUAAAAAAAAAGUCUUU
rfam:Xenopus tropicalis strain Nigerian Chr06_contig_758, whole genome shotgun sequence.